rnacentral:rRNA from 1 species
AGCCUUGAGCGUUAUUCAAGGUAAAGCCUGCCCAGUGCUGUAAGUUGUAAACGGCCGCAGUACCCUGACUGUGCUAAGGUAGCAUAAUCAGUUGGCUUUUAAAUGGAGUCGGGAAUGAAUGGAUUUAUGGGGUUAAGCUGUCUCUCUUAUAUUGAUUUAAAUUUACUUAUUAGGUGAAAAUGCCUAAAUAUAGAAAAAAGACGAGAAGACCCUAGGAGUUUUCACUAAAGUUUUUUUAAAACUACGUUUUUGUUGGGGCGACAAGAGAGGAGAUAAAACCUCUUUUAUUUUACGUGCCGACUUAGUAUGAAAGAUUAAACUACCCUAGGGAUAACAGCGUAAUUCUUUUUGAGUUUGCGACCUCGAUGUUGGACUAGGAAUUUAGUGGGCUAGCCGCCUACCUGAAUUGUUCUGUUCGAACUAUUUUUCCUACAU